ACCAAAAAAUAAAAUAAUAAACUAAUUCACUAAUAUAAUCAAAAUUAACAAUAAAAUUCUAUUA
rnacentral:tRNA from 1 species